rnacentral:lncRNA from 1 species
GCCCGGCUGCUCUGACCGCGAGCGGCUGGGUGUCGGUGCCCUGCUCUCCUCUGGGCGCCAGGAUGUUCCUGCCCAGUGCGUGUCCAGAAUAGCCGCUCAGACACCGGCUCCAGAAGAACUAGGUAGCCUGUUCCCACUCAGAAACUCAUUCCACAUGGUUUGGGUGGUCCUACCACUGCCCUCACCCGCGUCAACAAAGGAGUGGGAACCGAACUCAGGCCCUGCCCAUCAGAUCAUCGAAUUCCUCUGGCCACAGUGAUUGGGUUGUGAUCAGUUAGGAUUCUGCACUUGUGACUGAAAAAUCCUUGUACAGGAACCAACCUUCUGGAAACUUCUCCCAUGUGUCAGAUCCUUGAUGACAAGGACCACAACCUGUGCUCUGUUUGCUGUCCCCACUGCCAUCACCAUCACACAGGCCCACAGCACCUAGCACUGGAUGAGACACAUCACAAAUCCUGGACAAACUCUUGCUGAAACCAUGACAUGUCGAUGGCCCUUCACAGAAGACUUCACAAAAGGCUUCCCAUAACCCUAUUAAUGGAAAAAGGUGACGUGGGCAGAGUAUGCAGUUGUACCUGUUGAAAUAAACAUGCUCUUU